rnacentral:rRNA from 1 species
GAGUUUGAUCUUGGCUCAGAGUGAACGCUGGCGGCAGGCCUAACACAUGCAAGUCGAGCGGCAGCGCGGGGGCAACCCUGGCGGCGAGCGGCGGACGGGUGAGGAAUGCAUCGGAAUCUACCUCGUUGUGGGGGAUAACCUCGGGAAACCGGGACUAAUACCGCAUACGACCUACGGGUGAAAGUGGGGGACCGGCAAGGCCUCACGCGAUGAGAUGAGCCGAUGCCGGAUUAGCUAGUUGGCGGGGUAAAGGCCCACCAAGGCGACGAUCCGUAGCUGGUCUGAGAGGAUGAUCAGCCACACUGGAACUGAGACACGGUCCAGACUCCUACGGGAGGCAGCAGUGGGGAAUAUUGGACAAUGGGCGCAAGCCUGAUCCAGCCAUGCCGCGUGUGUGAAGAAGGCCUUCGGUUGUU